rnacentral:rRNA from 1 species
CAGCCGCCGCGGGAAUACGGAGGGUGCAAGCGUUAAUCGGAAUUACUGGGCGUAAAGCGCACGCAGGCGGUCUGUCAAGUCAGAUGUGAAAUCCCCGGGCUUAACCUGGGAACUGCAUUUGAAACUGGCAGACUGGAGUCUUGUAGAGGGGGGUAGAAUUCCAGGUGUAGCGGUGAAAUGCGUAGAGAUCUGGAGGAAUACCGGUGGCGAAGGCGGCCCCCUGGACAAAGACUGACGCUCAGGUGCGAAAGCGUGGGGAGCAAACAGGAUUAGAUACCCCUGUAGUCCCUGUCUCUUAUAC